rnacentral:tRNA from 1 species
UAUAAGGAGCCUGAAAAUAAAAGGUUAAUUUUGAUAGAAUUAAAUAUGUAAUAACUUACCCUUAUAA